rnacentral:rRNA from 1 species
AUACGUAGGGAGCGAGCGUUGUCCGGAAUUACUGGGCGUAAAGGGCGCGUAGGCGGCGCUUCAAGUCGUCUGUCAAAUGGGAGGGCUUAACCCUUUUUCGCAGACGAAACUGGAGAGCUUGAGAAGCAGAGAGGCAAACAGAAUUCCUGGUGUAGCGGUGAAAUGCGUAGAUAUCAGGAAGAAUACCAGUGGCGAAGGCGGUUUGCUGGCUGCAUACUGACGCUGAAGCGCGAAAGCCAGGGGAGCAAGCGGGAUUAGAUACCCCGGUAGUCCUGGCAGUAAACGAUGUAUGCUGGGUGUGAGACUAGCGAUAGUUUCGUGCCGAAGUUAACGCGAUAAGCAUACCGCCUGGGGAGUACGGUCGCAAGAUUGAAACUCAAAUGAAUUGGCGGGG